CCCUUAGAUGUCCUGGGCCGCACGCGCGCUACACUGACGAAUGCAACGAGCUUAUAACCUUGGCCGAAAGGUCUGGGUAAUCUCCAAAUUUCGUCGUGAUGGGGAUAGAUUAUUGCAAUUAUUAAUCUUCAACGAGGAAUGCCUAGUAAGCGCAAGUCAUCAGCUUGCGUUGAUUACGUCCCUGCCCUUUGUACACACCGCCCGUCGCUCCUACCGAUUGAAUGGUCCGGUGAAGCGUUCGGACCGUGGCCUUUGGACGGUUCGCCGUCUGUUGGCUGCGGGAAGUUCGUUAAACCUUAUCAUUUAGAGGAAGGAGAANUCGUANCA
rnacentral:rRNA from 1 species